CGCGCGCGCAUCUCUCUCUCACCCUGUCUCAUCCUGCGCGCCCACACGCGCUCCUCUCUCACUAGCGCCAGGCCGAGCCGCCGCCGCGCCACCGCCGGGAGCCCGCGCCGCCACCGCGCCGUCACCGCGACCUAGACAAAAACAUGUACGCCUCGUCUGAUUUGCGUCAGGGCCCUCGUCUGAUUUGCUCCGCCGAGAAGAGGAGGACAGUGUGCGUGUUGAAGCUGUCGGAGGUAAGGCUCGGCAACGGCGACGGCUACCAGCACGGCCAGUGCUGGCGCGACGUCUACGAUGCCAUAUGCCAGGCCCGGAGGCUCAUCUACAUCAUCGGGUGGUCCAUGUUCCACACCAUCCACCUGGUGCGCGACGGCCACGAUGACAUGGCACUCGGCGACCUGCUCAGGAGGAAGUCGCAGGAGGGCGUGCAGGUGCUGCUGCUCGUGUGGGACGAUCCCACGUCCCGAAGACUCCUUGGCAUCAAGAUGGAAGGUUACAUGGGCACAAGGGAUGAGGAGACCCGGAGAUUUUUCAAGCACUCUUCAGUCCAGAUACUGCUUUGCCCACGAUCUGCAGGGAAGAGGCACAGCUGGGUGAAGCAACAGGAAACAGGCACUAUCCUUACUCAUCACCAGAAGACAGUGAUCUUGGAUGCUGAUGCUGGGAAUCAUAGAAGGAAGAUCGUUGCUUUCAUGGGAGGACUUGAUCUAUGUGGAGGCCGAUAUGAUACACCAAAGCACACUCUAUUUCGAACUCUUCAGACAUUUCACAAGGAAGACUACUACAACCCAAAUUUUGCGGUUGAAGAUGCUCGCGGCCCAAGAGAACCAUGGCAUGACUUGCAUUCCAAGAUCGACGGUCCAGAAGCAUACGAUGUCCUGAAAAACUUUGAGGAGCGCUGGUUAAAGGCAUCAAAGCGCAGUGCCGCUAAGAAACUGUCAAAAUUGUCGAGGUCGCAUAAUGAUUCGCUGCUGUGGAUCAACAAGAUACCUGAUAUUAUUGCUAUUGACGACGAAAUCUAUUCAAAUGACGAUGAUCCAGAGAGAUGGGACGUGCAGGUAAGUCUACCAAAGGGCUCCAUAAAUCAUUGCAAAAUAAAUAAUUCUGACAUUCAUGGUCGAGCCCUGAGCAAAUUUCACCUAGAAAGCAGAUUUUCCGAUCAAUUGAUUCGAAUUCUGUCAAGGGUUUUCCAAAAGAUCCACGGAAGGCCACUAGUAAGAAUCUUGUUUGUGGGAAAAAUGUACUGAUUGAUAUGAGCGUGCAUACAGCAUAUGUGAAUGCCAUCCGAGGUGCUCAACAUUUCAUCUAUAUUGAGAACCAGUACUUCCUUGGCUCUUCAUUUAACUGGGAUUCACAUAGAGAUGUUGAUUUUCGGGUACAGGAUGUCUCUAUGGGUAGAGCAAAUAAGGGGGACGGUGCACUCCCCCCUUCGUGUGUGUUUUAAUCACCAUUUCUAAAAUUUAUUCUAUUGAAGUGAUGAUGACAGUCCAUCGCCGCCAAGAGGUCACAGGAGAAGAACUCGCAGCCCAAGUCCUCGUGGUAGUUAUGGAGGCCAUGGCAAGCGCCCCACAACUAAUCUUAUGGUGACGAAUCUUGGUCCGGAUUGUAGGAUUCCGACUCUCAUCAAGUGACUCCUCCCCUCACGAUGACUUUGCGGACAGAUGUCUCAAUUAUAGUGGUGGAGCUACGAACAACAAUCCGAUGUCCUGAUCGAGAGCGAUGGAGCUAAUGUUUGAACUUGUGUGUUUGACCUUGUGAACUAAAAAUGUGAACUAUGGAUGUGAACUUAUAUGAAUUUGUGAACUUAUGUAUUUGGACUUAUGUGAAUUUGUGAACUUAUGU